rnacentral:piRNA from 2 species
UCCACAAGCCAGGCCUCACAGGAGUCCC